rnacentral:rRNA from 1 species
ACGAACGCUGGCGGCGUGCCUCAUACAUGCAAGUUGAGCGCUGAAGGUUGGUACUUGUACCACCUGGAUGAGCAGCGAACGGGUGAGUAACGCGUGGGGAAUCUGCCUUUGAGCGGGGGACAACAUUUGGAAACGAAUGCUAAUACCGCAUAAAAACUUUAAACACAAGUUUUAAGUUUGAAAGAUGCAAUUGCAUCACUCAAAGAUGAUCCCGCGUUGUAUUAGCUAGUUGGUGAGGUAAAGGCUCACCAAGGCGAUGAUACAUAGCCGACCUGAGAGGGUGAUCGGCCACAUUGGGACUGAGACACGGCCCAAACUCCUACGGGAGGCAGCAGUAGGGAAUCUUCGGCAAUGGACGAAAGUCUGACCGAGCAGCGCCGCGUGAGUGAAGAAGGGUGUCGGAUCGUAAAACUCUGUUGGUAGAGAAGAACGUUGGUGAGAGUGGAAAGCUCAUCAAGUGACGGUAACUACCCAGAAAGGGACGGCUAACUACGUG